ACGUAAUUUGACUUUGGACAGGGCGCAAGUGCGCGAGCCGCGAACGCGUUCGGUGGUGUUCAGUUUUCUGCGAACUGUUGACGAGUGGGGUCGUAGCUCACGGUUGUUGAUGUCAUCGUAAUGUGGGCCGUUCGAAUGCGACGAUAAGGCUGAUGUUCCUCGAUUAAACUGCUGAAACACGUUCUUACUCGCAAUGAUGGAGAACAUUAAAGUGGCCAUCAAGGUCAGGCCAUUCAUUAAGCGGGAAAAGGAUGAAAAUUUGCCUAUUCAGUGGUCGGUUCACGGAAACAGCAUCGUGGCUAUUGACGCGAAGCUGAGAAAGCGGAGUGACGGAUUCGAUCGCGUUUUCGAUGCGAGUGCCACUAAUGAGAACGUGUUCAGCACGAUUGUAAAGCCUAUCGUCGACGCUGCCGUCAAUGGAUUUAAUGGCACAGUGUGCGCCUAUGGACAGACUAGUUCAGGCAAAACCUAUACUAUGAUAGGUACCUCGAAGGAACCUGGUAUAAUACCGUUGGCGGUCGAUCACAUUUUCGACGCAGUAGCCAACACCCCAGAACGCGAAUUUUCAUUGAGAGUAUCCUACUUCGAGAUAUACAAUGAAAGAGUCAACGAUCUCCUGAGCGAGAAUGUAGUGGAACUCAAAAUGUACAAAGACACAAACGACCAGGUGUUCGUGAAGUGCACGGAGAAGGUUGCGAACAGUCCAGAGAACGUUAUGAUAAUAAUGAACGAGGGCAAUACGAACAGGAGGAUAGGAAAGACGAACAUGAACGAGUGUAGCAGCAGGAGCCACACAAUAUUUCGAAUUACGAUCGAGAGUCGAGAAGCUGAGGCUGACUCGGAUGGUGCAACACAAGUGGCGCAGUUAAAUCUGGUGGAUCUCGCUGGCUCGGCGAGAGCGCGGCAAACAGGUGCCACUGGCGUGCGUUUUAAGGAGGGAUGCCACAUUAACUGGUCCCUGUCCACGUUGGCGUUUGUAAUCAAGCGACUGAGCGAGUCGCAAGGCGCUCAGAGAUACAUAAACUUCCGCGACAGCAAAUUGACGAGAUUGCUUCAGACUUCGCUGGGCGGAAACGCUAUAACGGCAAUAAUAUGCACGGUAACACCGGCCGCGCUGAACGAAACUCGACGCACACUAUCGUUUGCGUCCAAGGCUAGAAACAUCAAAAAUAAGCCUCAAGUGAACGAAGUCAUGUCCGACGGUGUACUUAUGAAACGUUACGCAAACCAGAUUAAUGAGAUGAAAGCAGAAUUAGAGCAAGCGAAACGAGCUGGGCCGACGGAGUUUCUGGAAACCGAGGUUCUGAGAGCUAAGAUGCAAGAAAUGGAUCGCAUCAAUCGGUAUCUUGAGAAGUGUAUCAAGAUGUUGCAAGCUCGGAUAGUCAACGAUGAUAGUCGCAACAACGCGUAAUCGCGUAAUCCCAGCAUACAGCGAAAAGAAGAGAAACCUGAUGUGUAUAUCCCUGCUUAAAAAGAACGAUAGAAUCAGAUAGAAAAAAAUCUAUCUGAUUGAAUCGUGUUUUUGGUUCGUAAAUUUCAGAUUACGUAUCUGAAAUAUUUGAUAGGUUUUCUAUAAUUCUCUAUCGUUUAUAUAGUAUUGCUUAGAUAUAGUUUUUAAUCGACUUCUAUUGGAUCGUGCUUUAUCAAAAAUCUAUCUGAUUGAAUCGUGUUUUUGGUUCGUAAAUUUCAGAUUACGUAUCUGAAAUAUUUGAUAGGUUUUUUAUAAUUCUCUAUCGUUUAUAUAGUAUUGCUUAGAUAUAGUUUUAAUCGACUUCUAUCGGAUCGUGCUUUAUCAAAAUUAAUAAUAUUCUAUCGUCUAUUUAAUCGUCAAUUGCAGAUUGUUUAUCUAAACUAGUUGAUGGAUUUUCUAUAGUUCUCUAUCGUUUUUAUCAUAUAGCUUAGAUAUCGUUUUUAUCAUAUAGCUUAGAUAUCGUUUUUAAUCAAUUUCUAUCUGAUUGUGCUUUAUUAAAAGUUACUUUUAAUCUGAUUGUGCUUUAUUAAAAGUAACUUUUAAUAAAGCACAAUCAGAUUAAAAGUAACUUUUAAUAAAGCACAAUCAGAUUAAUAGUAACUUUUAAUAAAGCACAAUCAGAUAGAAAUUGAUUAAAAACGAUAUCUAAGCUAUAUGAUAAAACCGAUAGAGAACUAUAGAAAAUCUAUCAACUAUUUUAGAUAAACAAUCUGAAAUUUACGGUUUAAAUACACGAUAGAAUAUGUACAAGCCGAUCAUGUCGUCGAUUAACGAGAUGUCACUCGACAAGUCGCUCAACGGAUCAUCCAAUUACCGUUUAUAGUACCUAUUACCGAAGCAAUGUGAGCGUUCCAAACUGCUUAUGCCGUCUUCGAGCCGGAGCUUAUGGAGAACGAGGAGGAAUUCGUUGCAGAACGAUGAAGAUUCAGCGUUGAAGAAUGAGAUCGAGAAGCUUCAGGGAGACUUGUCCGCGCAGGAAUCCACAGUUGAUUGGUUGCAGAAGGAGGUCCCGCGCGUGCAACAGCUUCUGGAGGAAAAAGAUCGCGACGGGGAUGCGUUGAGACAGAGGAUCAGCCUCGAGGCGCAGGAGAUGAUCAAGAGUAAGAGCCGAGUUCCAGAUGAAGCUGAAAACGGAGAGGGAGGCGUACAACAUGCGGAUAGAGGAGCUCGCGCGUCUCGAUCGACUCGAUCAAAGCGAAAAAAAUAUGGAGCUAACGAACAACAUCGAGGGUCUCGAAGCUAAUCGGAAACAGCUGGAGAACAUCAUCGACUUGAAGACUAACGAACUGAUGAGGAGCAAUCAGUUAUUCAGAAAAUGCAGACCGAAUCGGAACAACUCAUGAACUCCUUUUCUUUCUCCAAUUUUUGUGUUAUAUCGUCCUGUAAAAAAUGGGACAAUAUAAUGUGGCAGUAGUAUUGAACGACUAA
rnacentral:misc_RNA from 1 species